CAAAAGAAAAAAAUGUGAUAAAAAUAAAUGUGAUAUGCAUCUAUGGAGAUUUUUUUUCUCAGUGUACAUUCAAGUCUUGGCAACAAAAAAAAAAAUCUACUGAACAUUGAACACACCUCUUGUGCCUUAAUAACGAGACAUGUUGUCACACGUACUAUGUAGAAAAAGUUGUCAUAAUGAAACCUGCCUGUCUAUUCAGCAAAAUGUAAACAUUAAAAUGAUUAUAACAUGAAACAGCAAAAAUAUGAAAGGUAACUUUUUUUUUAUUUGUGGCCAAGAAAUAUUGUAUUUAAUAAAUUGCAUCGAUUUGUAACAUUGUCAACACGUGUAACAACUUGACCUAAACUGACAUUUAGAAAACACAUACAUUUGUUCUUAAAACACGAUUAAACCUUUCAGUUAAAAUGUAUAACGCUACUUUCAUUUACUGUUAUAUAGAUGACCCUGGCCCGAAUGUUUUCCAGUGUGGUUUAUUGGGUUUACUUAUUAACCCUAUAGGAAAAACUAGACUUUAAGACAGCAUGCCUUAUUUGCAUAUAAUAUACAUUACAUUUAGAAUGAUUUUUCAGCUGAUUUUUUUACUUGUCCAUUAUACUGACUAAAUAUCAGUAUAAUUAUACAUCAUUAGAAUCUAAGUUUAAUAAAUAAAAUAUGCUAACCCAAUUUCCUGUACAUGUGUCAAGAAACUAUAAAGGCCAAUUCACACCGCACCGACAAACGAGUCACAGAGAGUCAAGUCUGACUGGGAAAAUUCCACACAUACGUGUAACCAUGUUAACGAUAUUGUCAGGCAAGUUAUUAUAUUAAUAAUAUAGUAUCAUAUAUAUUUUCAUUGUAUUAAAGUAUUGAGGCAAAACAAAAAUACUAACCUGAAAUCCGAAGCGCUGUAGCCAUCGAUCUGAUCACAACCCAUUGCGUUGCGGUUGGUAUACACCGGUUUUUAAACUUUUUUUAGCGCGACCCUUUUUAUUUAUGUGACCCAUAGGCCUAUACAACCAUGUAGCUAAACAAGCCAAAACGAAUUAAUUUAAAACGAAACUGAAGGUAAACCUGCGUUGCUCUCUCUUUCGGUGAAGUGGAGCAGUGCUCUUGCGGAGUCGCGGAUUGCACUACGGACUAUUGUACCUUUCACAUGUUUUUUUUUUUUUUUUAACUGUAUUUUUUUUUAAUUUUUUUAUAAAGAACAAGCUGCGAUGUCACGUUUAAAGUGCUUUGUUGUGUGUGCGUGAGGCGCGGGCGCGAUCAAACAGCUGUUUUUGCAGGGGACUUGCCUCAUCGUCAUGGCAACGGUUCGUGGCCAGGUCAGAUUACGUCAGAGUUUGUUGGAAAACUGCUCACACUGCUCAGACAUUACACGACCCAACAAACGCCGAUUAAACAUGUUCAGUCGGGUGAAAACAGACUCCAUCAGACGCCAACAGGGGUAUCACACCUAUCCAACAAACUCGAACAGACGAGCGUUUGUCGGCGCGGUGUGAAUUGGCCUUUAAACGUUACAUCGCAGCUUGUUCUUUAUAAAAAAAAAAAAAUACAGUUAAAAAAAAAAACAUAAAAAGGUACAAUAGUCCGUAGCGCAAUCCGUGCCAUUCAGCAAGAGCACUGCUCCACUUCACCGAAAGAGAGAGCAACGCAGGUUUACCUUCAGUUUCGUUUUAAAUUAAUUCGUUUUGGCUUGUUUAGCUACAUGGUUGUAUAGGCCUAUGGGUCACAUAAAUAGGGUCGCGCUAAAAAAAGUUUAAAAACCGGUGUAUACCAACCGCAACGCAAUGGGUUGUGAUCAGAUCGAUGGCUACAGCGCUUCGGAUUUCAGGUUAGUAUUUUUGUUUUGCCUCAAUACUUUAAUACAAUGAAAAUAUAUAUGAUACUAUAUUAUUAAUAUAAUAACUUGCCUGACAGUAUCGUUAACAUAGUUACACGUAUGUAGUUGCGGAAUUUUCCCAGUCAGACUUGACUCUCUGUGACUCGUUUGUCGGUGUUUGUUGGGUCAGUGUGAACAUGACAGUUUUUUCUCAUAGAAUUCUAAAUCCAACGGCCAACUUGUUCGUUGGCGUUUGUCGGUGCGGUGUGAAUUGGCCUUUAAAGGCCGGAACACACCAAGCCGACGGUUGGCCGUCGGGCAGUUUUUGUUCGUCGGCCGACUAAGUUUUCUCAGUGUGUUCUGCACCGUCGGCUUUUUUCCGGCCGAUUCGAAAUGUUGAAUCGGCGUCGGCGCUCGUCGGUCCGUCGGGCCAUCUAAUCAUUCUGAUUGGCUGUUCAGCUACUGCCACCUGCUGGUACGGAAAGGCAUUUCAUCUUGCGCAGGCGCAGAACGGACGUGCUACUUGGCCGUCGGGUGGUAAGCGUCGGUUUGGUGUGUCAGGGCAACUUUGGACACAGACGCUGCCGACGUGAGCCAACCCCGCAGUCUGUUUUCGUCACCACUAGUUCGUCGGCGUCGGCUUGGUGUGUUCCGGCCUUAAGAGAUACGGGUGCCGUCAUGACUAAUGCCACUGACGCUGAUGACCUUUUUUUAGGCUGCCAUCAUAACUGACUUUGUCCUAUUAGGGUAAAUGAUUAAACUUCACACAUUCAAAUGCAUUUUCUGAAAAGGAGUGUAAGUAAAGGUCUUAGUGUUUCAAAAAACAUUAAAAAAAGCUUUAUGAACAUUCGAGUCUAAAAUGAACUAAAUGCCUUGACAACAUGUGACCUAACAUGUACUAAUGUCUCCUUCUCUUCCUUGUUGCCAGAAUGUCAAGCACAUGGCAAAUUGAUUUUAAUUUUAUUGGCUGAAGGGGAUGUCAUAUCCUCCUGGGACCCAGGAAUAGAAUUUUGGCCUCUGUAGUGGACAUUAUAUUUUAGUGAUUUUCUCUGACAUCAUACAUGUCACAGUUUUAAGUCUGGAUGUCCUGUAAAGAGCACAUUCUGGGCUUUGCAGAGAUACCAAAUUUUUUUUUGCAAAUUUUUAGAGGUUUUGCCAUGACAAUAACAACUUCUUGGUCUUUAAAUAUGACUGAAAAUGAAAAUUAGCACUCUUAUGGAAAUAUGAUAAUAUUUUGUAAUUAUCAUUUAAAUCUGAUUAUUUUUCAAAUUGUUUGUUAUAAAUCAACAUCUCAGGAAAAUCUUAUGGGGUUUGAAAUCAUAAUAUGACUUUCUGUUAUGAAACAGGACAUUGAUUUCAUACAUGACCUCUGUUAGAGGACACCAGGACUAAAAUCAUGUUUAUCAGGCAUUUUAGGAGAUACAACAAGUGAAUAGGGAAAGAAAUUGUAUAUCGAUAUUCCUGUUAAUUAUUAGAUAUUAUUAUGAAAAUGCUGCCAAUUAUUACAUUAUUACACUUCUUUUUUCAUUGCAUGUUGCUCCAAGAACACAUUAAUAUGCAAAUUAGAUACAAUGUAUGAAUACAUUGUAUUGAAUGGGAAAACCAAUGUAUGGCUAUUUUACCCACAUACUGCAUAAAGUAAAAUGGUAUAUCAAUUAAUUCCAUUAUAUCUUUCAUAACAUAGUUGAGAAUCAUCUUUAUACAAAGUUUGGUUAAAAAAAAAAUCCUGAAGCCUAAAAAUUGAUUGGUGAUUAAAAAGAAAAAAUUCCAUUGUUUUUUGCCUAUACAUGUAAUUUAAUGUAAUUUUAUUUUUUAAACAACUUAGUCCUGGUGUCCACUACAGAGGACAUAGCAUAACAUAUGAAUAAAAUAUAAUUUUUCAAAAAUGUUUUUUUUUUUUUUUUCAUUUGUUUCCUAUGCUCUAAACAAUGUAAUGACGUGAAAAAAUACUAAAUUCAAAAAACUUUUUUUUUCUGGGUCUCAGGAGGAUAUUAUAUUACUUUUUUUUGUUGAACAUUAUUAUUGUAUUUUAAAUGCAAUUUUCUUAGUGUCAUUUAUAAAUGACGAUGUCCCAUAGAGUGUUAAAAUGUACUUAAAGCACGUACGUAAAGCACUACUGAUGCACACAAAUGUUAAUGUGUAUUUAAUAUAGACUACUGUGUACUAUAUUUUAAGGGCUUGCAAAACAAAUUCUUUGGCAGAAUGUACUGUCAUGCACCUAUAGGCAGCAGGCGAAUUAUCAUUCAAUGUAUAACAAAUGUCAAGUGUGCUUGACAGGUUAUAGCUACUAUUACUAAAGCCAGAAAUAUUCCUACACUGUUCUCAAAAAUAAGAAAUAUAAAAAUACAUUUCAAAUCAUUAUUUACAAAUUAACUAAGAUAUCAUACAAUGAUGUUAUGUGGCAUAGAUAAUUGACUCUACAAGUGUACACAAACACAGUGUUUAGUUUUUCUCUUUGUGCUAUUUCUUCAGGAAAUGGGAACCACCUUAAGUAAUGUUCCCUGUUCCCAGGAUGCCUCCCACUGUGUAACAUGGGCACUCUAGCCAGAAGCCACUGACUUCAUGUGUUAGUCUCAAUAACAUGAGCUUUUUUAGCUUGUGGGAACUGGCUUAGUGCAAGGGUCACUCAAAGAACAAUAAGAAAUGCUCAUUGUGAACAUAAGGGAAACACCACAACAUUUUUCUCAAGCAAUAAAACAAUGAUAAUGAAAUAAUGAGAUAAUAAAAUGAAACACCAUGGGAUUGUAUUGUAAUAGAAUAGGUUCAUGAGCAUCAAUUUUAAAUAUAAUGAUAAUGGCAAACAGACUUUUAAUAAGUAUUUUACAACAGUAGCCACAUUCAAAUCCAGACUCAAAACAUAUCUUUUUAGCUAUGCAUUUACUGAUUGAGCACUGUGCUAUGUCCGAACUGUUUGCACUUUAUUUUAUACGUAUUAUCUUUUUUGUUCUUUUAAUUCUUUUUCUUGUUUUUAUUUCAUUUUUAAUGCAUUUUAUAUCAAUCUUUUAUGUAUCAUCUUUAUAUUUCUGACUUUUAAUGCAUUUUAAAUCUUGCUGUCUGGUUGAAAGAGCUGGGAGAGUUAGGAAGUAAGCAUUUGUUGUCCCUGGAUGGAGCUCUGACAAGAGUUAGUCCAGGAAGAUUUGUCUGUAAGGGUACUGUUUAAACGCACAGCUACCUGACAAAUAUAAAUAUUUUUCCAUUUAGAUCCGCUAUGAUGGACGACAAAGUUGAGUAAAGUUAUCCCUGGAUGGAGCUCUGGAUAGAGUUAGUCCAGGAAGAUUUGUCUGUAAGGGUACUGUUUAAAUGCACAGCUACCUGACAAAUAUAAAUAUUUUUCCAUUUAGAUCCGCUCUGACGGACAACAAAGUUGAGUACAGUUAUCCCUCCAGCGUGAGGAAGAUUAGUUUAGAUCCGCUCUGACGGACAACAAAAAACUCCCUGAAACUUCCUAACUCUUCUAUCCAGGUAGUGAUAUUCCGUGUUUUUGCUGUUAUUUUUAUUUCUUAUGCAUUCCAUUUUUAUUCUUAUGUAUUUGGUUCUUCUUUAUGUAAAGCACUUUGAAUUACCAUUGUGUAUGAAAUGUGCUAUACAAAUAAAAUUGCCUUGCCUUUUAAUGUGUCAUGAAUUAGAUAUUUUAUAGGUGAGUACAAAACUAACAUGACACUGUAUGUUAGCAAAACAAAGAUGCUACUUAAGACCAAAUGAACUGUUUUGCAGUGUGUACUUUAAUCUUAACCCCUUUAAUCUUAUUCUUUAUUCUCAGGUUAGGUAAAGUAAGGUAAAGUAAAAAGACUUAUCUGUGGUAUGUUCUUAUUCAAAGUCUUAAAACACUAUAAAUCAGUCUCGGUAGGCAGUUUUUGUAAUCAAUUCAAUUUCUUUUUAUAAUAAACAAAAAUGUAAAGGCAAAUUGUUCAUUAUUAAAGUAUAAAAUACAAUAAUUACACUUUGAAUCAAAGGUGUAUUCAUUUCUGGGAUUCGGGUUUCUUGUCCUCAGCUCUAGGCUUCUAGGUAUCGGGGGUACUGACAUAUCAGUAUCCGAAGAGGCAAUCAACUUUUAUACUCCUGUUGUUUACCGCCAAAGUUAGGUUCUAAUCUUCUUGAUUUGAAGCAAGUUGUAACUUUCCCAAGAUCCUUCUCAAGGCCUUGCAGGUGCAAGCUGUAUGCCUCCUUCUGUCCUUGAACUCCAGUUAACUCUACCAAGAUGGCUAAUGUCCUUUUAUAGGAGUAAAACCACAGUGGAACCACAUUUCUUUGAGUCCUUGAACACACACACAUAAACGCACAGUUUUGCUCCUCCUUAUCAUGGGUAGGCACGCACAUAAUUGACAAUUACUGUACAUCUCUGUCCAUACAGUAUAAGGCAUUUCUUAGAAACAAACAAAAAUAAAUAACAACAUUGUAAGCAAUGCAUUAUAUUCAAUACAUCGGCUACAUAUGUGUAGCAAAAAGGCAUCUAAAAUAAACAAGGAGGCAGGGUAAUUGCAUUUCACUGAUAUUGUACAACAGAACAAUUCCUCAUAUAUUAGUUUCAUUUUAAAAUGUAUAAAAGGUAACAUUGUUACUGUACAAACUUGUCAGGCGUGUAUAUAUUAUGUAACAUACAAUGACAAAAAAUGUCUUUUAAUGUCAUGGAGCAUAAAUGCAUCAUAAAAUAACAUUCUAGGUCAUUUGUAAGUAACACCUGAGAAUUGUGGGUAAAAGUACUUACAGCUGCUAAUUACUAAAUACCAGUAGAUUAUACUUUUCUUAUACUAGUUAUUGCGCUGACGUCUUCACCAAAAAUGAAAAACCUAAAACUAUCUGUGGCUCACUGCUGUUGAAUAUACAAUAGAGAAGAUGCCUCUGCUCUAAACCAUCAGCACAUUUUCUCACGCAUAAUUUGCACUGUCAGAGAUGCCAUCCAAUUUCUGUAAUAUCAUUGACCUCAGUGCACUGUAUCUGUAAAAAACAAAAGUACAACAAAGACAAAAAUGAAUAUAUUGUUGUGUUAAGGAAACAAAGAAUAUUGUACUUGCUUACUUUCUUGUCAGUUUUAAAAUCUCUCUCUCUUCCUCCUCUUUCAGUUUCUUGAUGAAACUGUCCAAAACGGGCAUUUCAAACUUAAUAUACUGUGCAAC